UCGCCGGUGGCGCGGGCGGUGGCCACGGCGGCCGUCAUCAGGCCGGGGUCGGGAGUGACCUUCUCCGCGUGGGCGUUCCACGCGUUCGCCGCGGC
rnacentral:tRNA from 1 species